rnacentral:rRNA from 1 species
UACGUAGGGGGCAAGCGUUGUCCGGAAUCAUUGGGCGUAAAGCGCGUGUAGGCGGUUCGGUAAGUCGGCUGUGAAAGUCGGGGGCUCAACCCUCGGAUGCCGGUGGAUACUGUCGGGCUUGAGUACGGAAGAGGCGAGUGGAAUUCCUGGUGUAGCGGUGAAAUGCGCAGAUAUCAGGAGGAACACCAAUUGCGAAGGCAGCUCGCUGGGACGUUACUGACGCUGAGACGCGAAAGCGUGGGGAGCAAACAGG